rnacentral:rRNA from 1 species
CCUACGGGAGGCAGCAGUAGGGAAUGUUUCACAAUGGGCGAAAGCCUGAUGGAGCAAUGCCGCGUGAAUGAUGAAGGUCUUAUAGAUUGUAAAAUUCUUUGAUUUGGGAAGAAAAACUAAAGGAGGAAAUGACUUUAGUCGGACUGUAACAUGGGAAUAAGGAGCGGCUAACGAUGUGCCAGCAGCCGCGGUAAUACCUAGGAUGAAAGCGUUAUCCGGAUUUACUGGGCGUAAAACGAGCGCAGGCGGGUUAACAAGUUUGGUAUGAAAGGCUUUUGCUUAACGAAAGUUUGUAUCACAAACUGUUAAUCUAGAGUGUAGUAGCGCGUUCUGGAAUUCCAUGUGGAGCGGUGUACUGCGUAGAUAUAUGGAAGAACACCAGUGGCGAAGGCGCGACCUUAGGCUAUCCCUGACGCUUCGGCUCGAACGUGUG